GUGGGGAAUAUUGGACAAUGGGCGAAAGCCUGAUCCAGCCAUGCCGCGUGUGUGAAGAAGGUCUUCGGAUUGUAAAGCACUUUAAGUUGGGAGGAAGGGCAGUAAGUUAAUACCUUGCUGUUUUGACGUUACCGACAGAAUAAGCACCGGCUAACUUCGUGCCAGCAGCCGCGGUAAUACGAAGGGUGCAAGCGUUAAUCGGAAUUACUGGGAGUAACGCGCGCGUCGGUGGUUUUGUAAGUUGGAGGUGAAAUCCCCGGGCUGAACCUGGGAACUGCCUCCAAAAGUGCAUGGCUAGAGUACGGUAGAGGGUAGUGGAAUUUCCUGUGUAGCGGUGAAAUGCGUAGAUAUAGGAAGGAACACCAGUGGCGAAGGCGACUACCUGGACUGAUACUGACACUGAGGUGCGAAAGCGUGGGGAGCAAACAGGAUUAGAUACCCCGGUAGUCC
rnacentral:rRNA from 1 species